rnacentral:rRNA from 1 species
GGCUACCUACGGGGGGCAGCAGUGAGGAAUAUUGGUCAAUGGACGCAAGUCUGAACCAGCCAAGUGGCGUGCAGGAUGACGGCCCUCCGGGUUGUAAACUGCUUUUAGUUGGGAAUAAAAGGGGGCUCGUGAGCCCCGUAUUGUAUGUACCAUCAGAAAAAGGACCGGUUAAUUCCGUGCCAGCAGCCGCGGUAAUACGGAAGGUCCGGGCGUUAUCCGGGUUUAUUGGGUUUAAAGGGAGCGUAGGCCGGCUUUUAAGUCAGCUGUGAAAGUCCUCGGCUGAACCGUGGAAUUGCAGUUGAAAC